rnacentral:rRNA from 1 species
AUUGAACGCUAGCGGGAUGCCUUACACAUGCAAGUCGAACGGAGUGGCGAACGGGGGAGUAAUGUAUCGGAACGUGCCCAGUAGCGGGGGAUAACUACGCGAAAGCGUAGCUAAUACCGCAUACUAUUGGAGCGGCCUAUAUCGGAUUAGCUAGUUGGUGGGGUAACGGCUAACCAAGGCGACGAUCCGUAGCUGGUUUGAGAGGACGACCAGCAACACUGGGACUGAGACAAGGCCCAGACUCCGACGGGAGGCAGAAGUGGGGAAUUUUGGACAAUGGGGGAAACCCUGAUGCAGCCAUGCCGCGUGUGCGAAGAAGGCCUUCGGGUUGUAAAGCACUUUUGGCAGGAAAGCGGUACCUGCAGAAGAAGCACCGGCUAACUACGUGUCAGCAGCCGCGGUAAUUC